UACGGAGGGUGCAAGCAUUAAUCGGAUUUACUGGGCGUAAAGCGCGCGUAGGCGGGUUUGUUAGUCAGAGGUGAAAUCCUGCAGCUUAACUGUAGAGCUGCCUCUGAUACUGCAAAUCUUGAGUUCAGAAGAGAGAAGCGGAAUUCCAGGUGUAGUGGUGAAAUACGUAGAUAUCUGGAAGAACACCAGUGGCGAAGGCGGCUUCUUGGUCUGUAACUGACGCUGAGGCGCGAAAGCGUGGGGAGCAAACAGGAUUAGAUACCCGGGUAGU
rnacentral:rRNA from 1 species